AAUUGGUGAACUUUGAAUAGGGCUCGUUCAAAUGAACACAUAGCAUACGAGGAACGACGGAAGAGGAAAAAGGUCAGGGGUAUUUUGGUCUCCUUAUGAGAUUUCAUAUGUCAAUGGACCGCUUAUUAAGAGCACAGUCAACAGGGACUAUUCGUUAUACCGGGGUCUAACUUUGGAUCGCUAAGCAAGUUCCUCAAUUUUCGGUAAAUUACUUUUCCAUCCCUCUAAAGACCCCCCUGUAACAGGAGGUCCCGGUUGAC
rnacentral:lncRNA from 1 species